CAAUAGCGUAUAUUUAAGUUGUUGCAGUUAAAAAGCUCGUAGUCGGAUUUUGGCUGAGAACGAACGGUCCGCCGUUAGGUGUGCGCUGUUUGGUCUCAGCUUCCUGGUGAGGAGGUGUGCUUCACGGCCACUUAGUCACCGUGGUUACUUUGAAAAAAUUAGAGUGUUCAAAGCGGGCUUACGCUUGAAUAUAUUAGCAUGGAAUAACACCAUAGGACUCCUGUCCUAUUUCGUUGGUCUCGGGACGGGAGUAAUGAUUAAGAGGAACAGUUGGGGGCAUUCGUAUUUCAUUGUCAGAGGUGAAAUUCUUGGAUUUAUGAAAGACGAACUUCUGCGAAAGCAUUUGCCAAGGAUGUUUUCAUUGA
rnacentral:rRNA from 1 species